UGAGUUUGAUUAACUCUGCUUUUUCCUAAG
rnacentral:piRNA from 1 species